rnacentral:rRNA from 1 species
CCUACGGGUGGCAGCAGUGGGGAAUCUUGCGCAAUGGGGGAAACCCUGACGCAGCGACGCCGCGUGAGCGAUGAAGGCCUUAGGGUUGUAAAGCUCUGUGGAGAGGGACGAAUAAGUCGGGGCGAACAGUCCCGAUGAUGACGGUACCUCCUUAGCAAGCACCGGCUAACUCUGUGCCAGCAGCCGCGGUAAGACAGAGGGUGCAAACGUUGUUCGGAAUUACUGGGCGUAAAGCGCGUGUAGGCGGUCCCGCAAGUCGGGUGUGAAAGCCCGGGGCUCAACCCCGGAAGUGCACUCGAAACUGCGGAACUGGAGUCUCGGAGAGGGUCGCGGAAUUCUGGGUGUAGAGGUGAAAUUCGUAGAUAUCCAGAGGAACACCAGUGGCGAAGGCGGCGACCUGGACGAGUACUGACGCUGAGACGCGAAAGCGUGGGGAGCAAACAGGAUUAGAUACCCGUGUAGUCC